AUCCCAUCCCGAACUCAGAAGCUAAGACCUCUUGCGCCGAUGGUACUGCAGCAUUCGCUGUGGGAGAGUAGGUCGAUGCCAAGA
rnacentral:rRNA from 1 species